GUAGGUGGCAAGCGUUGUCCGGAAUUAUUGGGCGUAAAGCGCGCGCAGGUGGUUCUUUAAGUCUGAUGUGAAAGCCCCCGGCUCAACCGGGGAGGGUCAUUGGAAACUGGGGAACUUGAGUGCAGGAGAGGAAAGUGGAAUUCCACAUGUAGCGGUGAAAUGCGUAGAUAUGUGGAGGAACACCAGUGGCGAAGGCGACUUUCUGGCCUGUAACUGACACUGAGGCGCGAAAGCGUGGGGAGCAAACAGGGAUUAGAUACCCUGGUAGUCCACGCCGUAAACGAUGAGUGCUAAGUGUUGGGGGGGUUUCCCGCCCCUCAGUGCUGCAGCUAACGCAUUAAGCACUCCGCCUGGGGAUACGGUCGCAAGACUG
rnacentral:rRNA from 1 species